UAUGGCGACCGGCGCACGGGUGAGUAACACGUAUCCAACCUGCCUNAGACUCGGGGAUAGCCUUUCGAAAGAAAGAUUAAUACCCGAUGGCAUAGUUCUUCCGCAUGGUAGAACUAUUAAAGAAUUUCGGUCAUCGAUGGGGAUGCGUUCCAUUAGCUUGUUGGCGGGGUAACGGCCCACCAAGGCAUCGAUGGAUAGGGGUUCUGAGAGGAAGGUCCCCCACAUUGGAACUGAGACACGGUCCAAACUCCUACGGGAGGCAGCAG
rnacentral:rRNA from 1 species